rnacentral:lncRNA from 1 species
ACCGUGUAACUCUGUUUUAUUUAUAAAAAAAAGGCACUAAGAAAUGCCCCCACCAGUAACAAUAAUAGAAUUGUCCAAGCAUCGUCUAACCUAAUCACCAUUGUUGUCAUCCCUCCGCCUGCUAAAAAAUCUAAAACAAAGAAAAAGAAGACAACAUAGGCACUAAGAAAUGCCCCCACCAGUAACAAUAGUAGAAUUGUCCGAGCAUCGUCUAACCUAACCACCAUUGAUGUCAUUCAUCCGCCUGCUAAAAAACCUAAAACAAAAAAAAAGACAACAACGUGUCAGUUUAAUUCAUUCAAGAAAAAUCCAUUCUGAAAGCGAAAAUCUGAAAUCCACUACAUGCUCAUCAAAAACCACUACAAAAUAUAUAGAAAUCCGCUAUAAAAAAAUCCCCUUUGCAAAGAGAAAAGCCACUAAAAACUUACAUAAAUCCACUACAAAAAAAUUCCUUUAAUAAAUGCCAUCAUCGCAGGCUAAAGUCAUCCGAGCAUCACCCAACCUCAGACCACUUGAUGCAUCACUCCGCUUGUGCAAGAACAUGAACCAAAGAACAAGAACACCAACGUGUAACUUUAAUUCAUUCAAAUAAAAAAUCCGUUUUCAAAGCAAGAAUUUGAAAUCCACUAAAAUCUCAUCAAAACCCACAACGAAAAAAUAUCGAAAUACAAUAAAAUAUUAACAUAAUCCACAUUAAAUUAACCUAAUCCACUACAAAAAUAAUUACAAAAAUAACAAAAAAAAUAUUAAUAUUUUUCAUCCAGGUAGAAAUUAAAUUUGACAGGUAAUAUAUUAACUUUGACGGGCAAUUGGAGUUAUUUAAUUUUGAUAUAAUUAAUUAUUUAAAUUUUUACAAGUUAACAUACAUGAUCUUAGUCCUAUAAUUAAAUUAAAAAUUAUCUAAAACAUUAAAAAAGGAUUUACUGCAGUCGAAGUUUGACAACUGCUAAUAGAUGCACCAGACUCGCGAGGUUUCAGUCUAAAAUCACAAUGAAAAUUAUUACCAAAAAUCUGUAUAUUAUUUGAGAUUUAAACAAAACCCUAGAAAUCAGACAAAGGGGAACGAAAUCCCUCACAAAUAUGAAUAUGUACCUGAUCGGAACACCAAUAGCCUCAAGCUAUCUUCUGCACAAAAAUCGGUAAAAGGGGAACGAAAUUCCCCACAAAGAUCAGACCGUCGGAACAAAAUCUCGUCGUCAUCGAUUUCUUCUGGUUGUGCCUUCUCUUGCUAAUUUUUUUCCAUCACGGUGGUCCUUCAUUCCAUGAAAAUCGGA